rnacentral:rRNA from 1 species
CAAUAGCGUAUAUUAAAGUUGUUGCGGUUAAAAAGCUCGUAGUUGGAUUUCUGCCGAGGACGACCGGUCCGCCCUCUGGGUGAGUAUCUGGCUCGGCCUGGGCAUCCUCUUGGAGAACGUAGCUGCACUUGACUGUGUGGUGCGGUAUCCAGGACUUUUACUUUGAGGAAAUUAGAGUGUUCACGGCAGGCAUACGCCUUGAAUAUAUUAGCAUGGAAUAAUAAUAUAGGAUCUUGGUUCUAUUUUGUUGGUUUCUAGAGCUAAGAUAAUGAUUAAUAGGGACAAUUGGGGGCAUUCGUAUUGACGAGUCAGAGGUGAAAUUCUUGGAUUUCGUCACGACGAACUACUGCGAAAGCAUUUGCCAAGGAUGUUUUCAUUGAUCAAGAACGAAAGUAAGGGGAUCGAAGAUGAUUAGAUACCGU